rnacentral:rRNA from 1 species
AUUGAACGCUGGCGGCAUGCUUUACACAUGCAAGUCGAACGGCAGCGCCGGCUUUGGCCUGGCGGCGAGUGGCGAACGGGUGAGUAAUGCACCGGAACGUGCCCAGUCGUGGGGGAUAGCCCGCCGAAAGCCGGAUUAAUACCGCAUACGACCUGAGGGUGAAAGCGGGUGACCGAAAGGCCUCGCGCUAUUGGAGUGGCAGAUGUCGGAUCAGCUAGGUGGUGGGGUAAUGGCUUACCAAGGCGACGAUCCGUAGCUGGUCUGAAAGGACGACCAGCCACACGGGGAGUGAGGCAGCGCCGCGACUCCUGCGGGAGGCCGCAGUCGGGAAUGUUAGGCAAGGGAGGCGACCCUGAUACAGCCAUGCCGCGUGCGGGAAGAAGGCGCUCGGGUUGGAAAGCGCUUAUGUUCGGGGAGAAAUCCUCUGGGCUAAUACCCCGGGAGAAUGACGGUACCGGAAGAAUAAGCACCGGCUAACUACGUG